AUUGAACGCUGGCGGCAUGCUUUACACAUGCAAGUCGAACGGCAGCGCGGUCUUCGGCCUGGCUGCGAGUUGCGAACGGGUGAGUAAUGCAUCGGAACGUGCCCAUUUGUUGUUGAUAGCCCGGCGAAAGCCGGAUUCAUACCGCAUACGACCUUAGGAUGAAAGCGGGGAACCAAGAGACCUCGCGCUAUUGGAGCGUCCGAUGUCGGAUUAGCUAGUUGGUGGGGUAAAGGCGUACCAAGGCGACGAUCCGUAGCUGGUCUGAGAGGACGACCAGCCACACUGGAACUGAGACACGGCCCAGACUCCUACGGGAGGCAGCAGUGGGGAAUUUUGGACAAUGGGGGCAACCCUGAUCCAGCCAUGCCGCGUGCGGGAAGAAGGCCUUCGGGUUGUAAACCGCUUUUGUUCGGGAAGAAAUGCUCUGGGCUAAUACCCCGGGGGGAUGACGGUACCGGAAGAAUAAGCACCGGCUAACUACGUG
rnacentral:rRNA from 1 species